rnacentral:lncRNA from 1 species
CCACAGACUGCUUAACUGUCCCUCGGAUGAUGGCACUAGCCUCCAUUCUCCGUGCCAUAUCCACUAUAGCAUGGAAGCUCUCCCUUUCUGCUGAUUGAACCAACGAGGAAUACCUGGAGUGAAGCUUCAUAACAUAUCUUCUAGACCUCUUCAGGUCUGUGUCAAGACCUUGUCCUGCAAACGGCAACAGCUCCAGGAACCUGUCUGUAAACUCAUCUACGCUCAUCUCUUCCGACUGCCUUAGCUGCUC